UCUUCCGGUCACAUUACAUCAGGCAAGAGGAACAUGGAGCGUAUGGCUGAUUACAGACGCAUGGCGCAAACUGUGCAGACUAAACUCGAAUUUUGUUUACCCGUAUUGUUUGAUAGACGCUAAAAUACUAUGCAUUGAAAACUGUAGUGAGUGAAUGUCAACUAAUUCCUAUUAUGUAAUUUGGCAAUGAGGUUAGUAAAAGGCCCAGUAGCUAAUGGCUACCUAGCUACUUACGACUCGUUCAAGGAAAGUCGGAGGCCAUUACGAGCACCACAAUCAUGUGCGGAGACUGCGCACGUGGUCAGCAGCAUGGUCCUCUUGAGUCCACGUUGGGACCAUGGAACCCCUUGUGUUCUCUUGAGGGAAUCGUCGAGUUAAUGUGGCUUAAGUCUUGGAGCAGGUGAAGUGUAAGCCAUUAACAGCGAUUAACAGCGUGGCUCCUUUCCACGAAGGAACCCUGCAUCAUUCAGGUUUCCCUCAAAGAUGUGAAGAUGCAGUCAUGGAACAAGUCCUGUGUCCAAUGUAGUGAAAAAUGAAUACCAUGGAGAGACUUCAACUACUACAACUCAAUUUAUUGAACAUUAUUAAAUUGUCCUGUAAAGUGUCAUUUGUAGUGGAAUGUUUGGUGUUCAUGUAUAUUGUAACUGUAUGCACUGUCUUUGAACCAGCGGAGCCCUCUCCAUGGCUCCGUAGGCCAAGCUACAGCUGCAAGAGCAAAUCAAAGGCUUGUUAUAACUGGGGUUACUUGGCAUUUCAUCCCAAGUUUCUCUUUUAAAUGCAACUCACAUCUAAUCACUAUUUGUCAUGUGUGUAUUCUGAUCUUCAAUCUGAAUAUGCUUCCUAAGGCAUCCCUUCCCUCAUUUUAGAGCUACAAGGAAUAAACCAGUAUAUAUUGUUAA